rnacentral:rRNA from 1 species
GAUGAACGUUGGCGGCGUGCUUAACACAUGCAAGUCGAACGGUGAAGCCCCUUCGGGGGUGGAUCAGUGGCGAACGGGUGAGUAACACGUGGGCAACCUGCCCCUAGCGCUGGGAUAACCCCGGGAAACCGGGCUAAUACCGGAUAUGACCUCGGAGGACAUCCUCUGAGGUGGAAAGUUCUUCGGCUAGGGAUGGGCCCGCGGCCUAUCAGCUUGUUGGUGAGGUAACGGCCCACCAAGGCGACGACGGGUAGCCGGCCUGAGAGGGCGACCGGCCACACUGGGACUGAGACACGGCCCAGACUCCUACGGGAGGCAGCAGUGGGGAAUAUUGCGCAAUGGGCGAAAGCCUGACGCAGCGACGCCGCGUGAGGGACGAAGGCCUUCGGGGUUGUAAACCUCUUUCAGCAGGGACCGAAGGCGAAAGUGACGGUACCUGCAGAAGAAGCACCGGCCAACUACGUGCCAGCCGCCGC